rnacentral:rRNA from 1 species
CCUACGGGUGGCAGCAGUGGGGAAUAUUGGACAAUGGGCGAAAGCCUGAUCCAGCCAUGCCGCGUGUGUGAAGAAGGCCUUCGGGUUGUAAAGCACUUUCAGUGGGGAAGAAAGCCUUGGGGCUAAUACCCUCGAGGAAGGACAUCACCCACAGAAGAAGCACCGGCUAACUCCGUGCCAGCAGCCGCGGUAAUACGGAGGGUGCGAGCGUUAAUCGGAAUUACUGGGCGUAAAGCGCGCGUAGGCGGUCUGAUAAGCCGGUUGUGAAAGCCCCGGGCUCAACCUGGGAACGGCAUCCGGAACUGUCAGGAUAGAGUGCAGGAGAGGAAGGUAGAAUUCCCGGUGUAGCGGUGAAAUGCGUAGAGAUCGGGAGGAAUACCAGUGGCGAAGGCGGCCUUCUGGACUGACACUGACGCUGAGGUGCGAAAGCGUGGGUAGCAAACAGGAUUAGAUACCCCAGUAGUC